UGGGGAAUAUUGGACAAUGGGCGCAAGCCUGAUCCAGCCAUGCCGCGUGAGUGAUGAAGGCCCUAGGGUUGUAAAGCUCUUUCACCGGUGAAGAUAAUGACGGUAACCGGAGAAGAAGCCCCGGCUAACUUCGUGCCAGCAGCCGCGGUAAUACGAAGGGGGCUAGCGUUGUUCGGAUUUACUGGGCGUAAAGCGCACGUAGGCGGACUUUUAAGUCAGGGGUGAAAUCCCGGGGCUCAACCCCGGAACUGCCUUUGAUACUGGAAGUCUUGAGUAGGGUAGAGGUGAGUGGAAUUCCGAGUGUAGAGGUGAAAUUCGUAGAUAAUCGGAGGAACACCAGUGGCGAAAGCGGCUCACUGGACCAUUACUGACGCUGAGGUGCGAAAGCGGGGGGAGCAAACAGG
rnacentral:rRNA from 1 species